CAGUCGCCACGGGAAUACGUAGGGUGCAAGCGUUAAUCGGAAUUACUGGGCGUAAAGCGUGCGCAGGCGGUUUUGUAAGACAGAGGUGAAAUCCCCGGGCUCAACCUGGGAACUGCCUUUGUGACUGCAAGGCUAGAGUACGGCAGAGGGGGAUGGAAUUCCGCGUGUAGCAGUGAAAUGCGUAGAUAUGCGGAGGAACACCGAUGGCGAAGGCAAUCCCCUGGGCCUGUACUGACGCUUAUGCACGAAAGCGUGGGGAGCAAACAGGAUUAGAUACCCCCGUAGUCCCUGUCUCUUAUAC
rnacentral:rRNA from 1 species